rnacentral:lncRNA from 1 species
GUGCGUGUUGAUGUUCCCGUGUCUCGUGGAGUUUGUAUUAAACCCCUGUCCUGUGAUCGUGCGAAUGCGUCCUCCUUCAUGCCAUGUCCAGCCCACCCGUGACAGAUAAAGAUAUAGGAGCAGAUCAUCUGCAGUAACAGGCUGUUUGCAGUUUGGGAAUUGAUGGUUCUGCCUACCUAUUCCCUAAUCUUCAGUCUGCCAAUCAACUCAGCAGACAGGAGCAUUUAAGGACAACUCCAGCCACCAGGCAGGGCCCUUGUUGUGGAGCCGGACGAGGAUAGAGAGAGAGCCAAUGAGAGUGGAAAGCAAGGGAAAACACGUCCACCUCUGUCACCAAGAGUCCACACAACAGAGAAAGAGGGCAAAAGUUGGAGAGGUUUCUUCCACUGGACACUGACAUGUACCUUGGAAACCAAGCACCCUACAGGGCAGAGAUACCAACCCUGAUAAUCAGCCAACUGCCACUUGUCUGCAGCUCUGUGGCCUGAAGGAUCAGGAGAUGUUCAGGAGAUGUUCUCUUGACACCAUGUGAUUACUUAUUCUAUUUAGUGUUGCAGACAUGUCAUGUCCCAUUUCCCGUGUGCCGUGCUGCAGUGUUUCACAAUGACAAUCACUUUCACAAUUUUCUCACCUUACUAUUCGUACUGAGCCCUGUGUCGUCCCAGUGAAACCUGACCCAUGAUUCUGGUGGUUUAUCAUUAAAUAAAACUGAGAGAUUUCUCCUGCA